GUCUGCUCUGGGACUUGGAACAAAAGGGGAAACUCUGAUGAACUCCUUCUCCCGCUCCCUGGACGCCCGAGUAUCUCUUUCUCGCAACUUUGUCAACGCGACUUUCUCCGCUGUCAGGCUGCGCAAAAGUGUCCUAGCGCCUCGCAGGCUGCAACAAUGGAAACAAUGUCCCUUCAAAGUGCGACGAAGUGGAGGGAGAAGGUGUCAUACCAGCGACUCCAAGAGUCAUGUCACCCACUUAGCAGGAGUACUUCUACUGAAAUGCCUUCGAAUUACUCUUAUUGGAUAUAUACCUACCAGCCGCUAGCAUGAAGAUGCCAGGACCGCUGCAAGUUAGCACUGGACAGAGUAGCAUCAACUUCUUCAUUUAGAGUUUCUUCAGUUAAAUUGCUGGGAUUUUCGACAAGGCUUUCCUUAUGUGGAUUAUUGGAGUGUGAUGCCCGGGAAUUCUCUACUUGUAGAAGCACCCCCACGUGACUGCAGAAGCCUUCACACCCAGCACGCUCAGAUGGGAUUGAGUGAUGGCCAUCCAGUGACCAGCUGGAUCUGACUGCCUUACAAGA
ensembl:processed_transcript RIKEN cDNA 2610307P16 gene